GAGUAAGUGAAAUGAAGCGUGAAUAACUGCCUAAUUAGUGGACAUGAAAACUGGACAGUCUCCAAAGUCAUCAGAGAUGACCACGCUUGCCAGGCAACUUACUAGACUAAGGGCACACAAUGAGCCUCACGUAAGCAUCAGGUACUACAUUUAGGAAGAGAGAUGGUGUGAGGAUGCAGUGGCCAGAAGAGGCAGCCCAGGGAAGAUCUGAGGUGAACCCUCUGGUUGGAAAGCCUUGGCAAAUUGGAGGAAUGAAAAGAAAAAAGAGUAAAUCUACAACAAGGAUCAGCAAACUCCAGUCUACAGGCCAAAUCCAGCCUGCUGCCUGUUUAUGUCAAUAAAGUUUUAUUGGAA
rnacentral:lncRNA from 1 species